rnacentral:rRNA from 1 species
UGGGGAAUUUUGGACAAUGGGCGAAAGCCUGAUCCAGCAAUGCCGCGUGUGCGAAGAAGGCCUUCGGGUUGUAAAGCACUUUUGUCAGGGAAGAAAUCUUUUAGGCUAAUACCUUGGAAGGAUGACGGUACCUGAAGAAUAAGCACCGGCUAACUACGUGCCAGCAGCCGCGGUAAUACGUAGGGUGCAAGCGUUAAUCGGAAUUACUGGGCGUAAAGCGUGCGCAGGCGGUUUGUUAAGACAGUCGUGAAAUCCCCGGGCUUAACCUGGGAACUGCGAUUGUGACUGGCAAGCUAGAGUACGGCAGAGGGGGGUGGAAUUCCUGGUGUAGCAGUGAAAUGCGUAGAGAUCAGGAGGAACACCGAUGGCGAAGGCAGCCCCCUGGGCUAGUACUGACGCUCAUGCACGAAAGCGUGGGGAGCAAACAGG